rnacentral:pre_miRNA from 1 species
AAACUACUCCCUCCGUUCGGAAUUACUUGUCGCGGAAAUGGAUGUAUCUAGACGUAUUUUAGUUCUAGAUACAUCCAUUUCCGAGACAAGUAAUUCCGAACGGAGGGAGUAGAAA